UAUGUUAUAUAAAUAGUGUGG
rnacentral:piRNA from 1 species